CCUACGGGAGGCAGCAGUGGGGAAUAUUGCACAAUGGGGGAAACCCUGAUGCAGCGACGCCGCGUGAGUGAAGAAGUAAUUCGUUAUGUAAAGCUCUAUCAGCAGGGAAGAAAAUGACGGUACCUGAGUAAGAAGCCCCGGCUAACUACGGUCCAGCAGCCGCGGGAAUAAGUAGGGGGCAAGCGUUAUCCGGAUUUACUGGGUGUAAAGGGAGCGUAGACGGGAGGGCAAGGCUGGAGUGAAAGGCGGGGGCUCAAACCCCGGACUGCGCUGGAAACUGUACGGCUGGAGUGAAGGAGAGGUAAGUGGAAUUCCUAGUGUAGCGGUGAAAGGCGUAGAUAUUAGGAGGAACACCAGUGGCGAAGGCGGCUUACUGGACUGUAACUGACGUUGAGGCUCGAAAGCGUGGGGAGCAAACAGGAUUAGAUACCCUAGUAGUC
rnacentral:rRNA from 1 species